CCCCCUCCCGCGCCGGGAGCUCCAGGCGGCUCCCGUACGGCUCCCGGGGCCUUCCCCCCUCGGGGGGCUCGGCCCGCCCCUUUCGCGGGGCGCUGUGGGAAGGGCGGGGGCGGGGCCCGGGGGUCGAAGAGCCCCAGCCGGGGCUCGGGCAGCUCUCGCUGCCCCCGGGCUCCUCUGGCGCCGGGGCUCCCGUGUUCCCUCGGGCGGUCGCAGCUCUGGGGCUGUCUCAGCCCCCCGGGCAGGCGUGCUCUGGCGUUUAGAGAAGCGGAGGCGUUGCCUGAGCAGCGGAUCCGCCGCUCGAGGGCGAGGAGCUGGGCCGACAACGGGCCGCUGCAGACUCUGGUCAGGGUACGAGGCUGCUCCCUGGGGAGCCGGCGCAGGGGGCGCGGAGGGCAACUUCUGUUCCCGAGGUGGUGCCUACAGUACAGCUAUCUCUUCGAAGGCAGUUUGGUUUAGGUCAGAGAAUGUUUAGCCUGGACUGAAUCAGCCUCUGUUUCUGUUUCUGGAAAUCGUCGGUCCUGUGCAUCAAGCCCGGAAAAAAGGAAAUAUGAACCAAAGGACCUGGGGCCUGCAGGGCUAGGAAAAUAUUUGAGAAGAGGUUCAGUGGGGAAAUGACUGUUUGUCUGUGGGGCGUCCAGGCAAGCAACCCAGCUGCUAGAAAGCGGCGCUGUCCCCAGGGUGGCCUCGGCGGUCCCGUCGGAGUCGGGGGAACAAGGACAAGGCAGGGGGAAGCAUCUGGCCUGCCGUGUGGACCGUGACUGUACAAAGCACGUGUGAUGCACUGCAAGUUUACCUGUUUAAACUGUGAGUUAAAGAAGGUGUGCAGUUGCUUUGUAAACAGCCGACGCUCUAAAGCUACACCCAUCUAAUUGCUAGCUGUAUUAAAUCUAUCGUAUUGCUGUUUCUGCAUUAAAAAAGAAAAAAACCAACACACCUAUGUAAGCACGUCUAAGUACAAUGGAAAACCACUGUUUAACGCGUGGCAUGUGCGGGUGGUUUUUUUGGGGCGGGGGGGUGGGGUGUAUGACAAAAACCUGCGAGAGACACACGCACACACGCACAUGUCAUGUUUAGCGCUCACCUAAACCCAAAAAAGAAAAUCCACUCUUUAUUUUGCAGCAUUAGCAUUAGCUUCCAGCGCACAGCCUGAGCGCGCACCUCUGCUCUCACCGUCUGCUCCCUCUUCAACCGUGCGUGGCUGUCAUCAGCUUGCACAGGCUUUGCUCGUGCAAGUUUCCGCGACGGCUUACGAGAAGGCAGGCAAACAGACCCAGCAAGACGCGUAGUGCCUUCCUCUAUGGGCUCCGUCCAGCCUUUGUUAAAAUGA